CAAAAGGGCUUAAGCAACGGCAAGUCAUGAACCUGGUCAGGGGUUUGCGCCAGCAGCCAUAAGUGGAACUACCGUGUGCUUGGGUCCUUUUGAGG
rnacentral:SRP_RNA from 1 species